GACUUAUGUGUUAUUUUUUUCUCUUUCAUGUGACCAGUUUGGCUCUUAUUAACUGAAAACUUCAAUGUACUUGGCACAGUUCCAAACUGUGGCUUUCUUGAAGCCGCUUGAAAGGGGAGGGGGGUAUUUUUUUUGCAAAAGCUCUAUAGGGUGUAAGUCGGAGGAAUAAAAGACAGAAAGAAAGAUGGCAGUAAUUGUAAUAUCCUGAGAUUUCUUCGCUCAGCCAAAAAAACCGUGCCAUUGAGCAACUUUCACAGGGCUGCCGCUGACUCGCUGCAGGACACAUACAAUCUGAUCAAGUUCAGAGACGCGCUGAGUGCUUCAAGCGGCGCUUUUUAACUCCAAGCCUUUCACAUCCUUUCCCCCUCAAUCUGUCCCAGGAAGGAGCUCACAUUCUUUAUUUUAGGGGAUCUGGACCUAAAAAAAAAAAAUCUUCAAAUCAGUCCUUCAUUCUGCUUUCGCCCUCAUCCUACCGCAUUCACUCCAGAACAUAUCCUCGAGAAAGAGUUAUAGAUUGAAAAGGUCCUCUUGUUCCUCCGUCUCAUCUAUCUCUAUCCCUGCAGCUCCUGGCUAUCUUCACCCUCUAUGGCUCCUUCAUGAUGGCCCCCUAAUCUCUGCCAGUGUGGUUCCAUGUAUGCAUUGCAAGGCGGCUGUGUAAUCAAGCCUGUGAACUCGACAUCUGAAGGAAGGAUUCUGUUUCUGAUCACAUCCCUAUUGAAGUCCAUCCAUUCGAUGAACAUGGACGUGUUGACACGCUCAAGCUUGCACUACUUGCGGAAUAAUCCUGUGUUCGAGGUAUCUGGAAGAGGCAGGGGAUAAAAAAUCCAUCACCUAUGCAAAAACAGAGCUUUUCAUAUAGUCCCUUUAUUAAAGUGGGAUAUGGCUGAGGAUGUACCACAUUUGAGGGGCCAUGAAUAAUGCCAAGAAGCUUAUAGGGAAAAGAAGACGCCACUUCUUCUCUCCAGCUUCCUACCACACAGCUGUAUUCAGCCUGCACAGUUAGGCCAUCGAGCCGUUAAUGAGUCCCAGCACUGAUAAUGAAGCCACAGAGGUGGUCUGAGCCAGUGUGGCACAGGAGCUGGAGCACAGAAGGAAGGUAGAUUAGGAUAAUUACCUGGCCACGGGGGAACGAUGAGUAAGAUGUGUCACUUCCUCGAUCGACGAAGGAGCAAGUGCGAUAUAAUGAGGUGCAGACACCCUUUGCUCAGAAAGGGAAAAAAAAGAAGAAAAAAAAGAAAAGUGUUGUCCACAUCCCUCACGUAUGUAUGUAUUUGUUGUUUAUGUAGCUGUGCUUUAGGUCUCUCACACAUACUGUACGUAAGUCCUAAAUAUACCCACACACAGAGACUUUGAAGAGCCUAUGAGGUCAGGUUUUAAAUUAUGGUCUGCACCCACACCAAGCUUUCUCUCCCCACUCCUGAAAAUCCAUUUUCCACACAAUGCAUUUCAAAUGAAAGCAGCGUCACCAUAACACGCCUUAGGAAACAUUAAGCCAUAGUGCAGUACUUUCAUGUAUGAUAGCAUAGCCCCUGUAUGCUUUGAUGUGCUCACUUUUUUAAUGCUUUAUUAAUAAUAACACACUGGCUCCUUCUCACACCCACAUCAGCUUCUGGUGCUCCUUUUUCUCAUCCUGAACAACAUCCCUCACUCCUUCCAAGCCUCAGCUCCUUCAUCCCUCCCCAGCCCCUGAGCCUUGUCUCAGGAUUGGCCUGUUUGUGUUUGGGAGGGGGAUUAGAGGGAAGGACAUGGGCUUUGAGAUGAAGAGAGUGACAAAGACCUAUCAGAGGGCAGAGAGUACGGAGCGCUGCAUCACCAUUGGUUGCUGUGGUAAUCAGACACGUCUUCAUUUCUUCCAGCCAUCCUCUCCGAAGUGCCCAGCUUUCAUUUCCACGCCCGGGGAGGGAA